rnacentral:rRNA from 1 species
GAUGAACGCUGGCGGCGUGCUUAAUACAGUGCAAGUCGAACGGAGAUAGUAGCAAUAUUAUCUUAGUGGCGAACGGGUGAGUAACGCGUUGGUGACCUGCCCCGAAGAGAGGGAUAGCAGUUCGGAAAGGACUGAUAAUACCCCAUGUGGUUGUCGGUUUUAGAAUCUGAUAACUAAACGGCGAAAGUCGCUUCGGGAGGGGCCUGCGUCCCAUCAGCUAGUUGGUAGGGUAAUGGCCUACCAAGGCUAUGACGGGUAGGGGACCUGAGAGGGUGGCCCCCCACAAUGGAACUGAAACACGGUCCAUACACCUACGGGUGGCAGCAGUAGGGAAUAUUGGUAAUGUGCGAAAGCGCGAACCAGCAACGCCGCGUGCACGAUGAAGGCCUUCGGGUCGUAAAGUGCUUUUAGAGAGGAUGAGGAAGGACAGUACUUUCUGAAUAAGCCUCGGCUAACUACGUG